CCUAAGGCCGUGUUUGAGUUCUGGCUCAUCUUUUUUGCUAAUUUGCUCUUAUGCAUAUCACCCAACCUCGCUAAGCCAGUUUCAUCAUCAGCGAGAACAGCACACUGACAUGCAGGGCCAGCUCAGGCGCUACCACAAGCUACACAUCCGUCCAUUCGUUUAAUCUUCACAGCAGCCCUGGAGGUCACCCAGGCAUGGAAUGCACAGCUCUGCCAGACAGAAAGCGCUUUGGAUGCCUGAGAAACAACAGCUUGUCCGGGCUACUGAUGCGAAGAGAGGCCAUGGUUUCCUUUUUCUCUGCUCUGAAUGGCAGCCUUGACGUCACAACAGCUAGGAACCACUGGAGGGACAAAUAACAAGGCGCAAGCCAGAAGCGCCCUGCUCUGUCGCAGGGGCAGGGCCAUUUUCAUCCAGUUCUGAUGUCUUCUGUGGCCGCUGCGAGUCGGCGGGAGUAGAGACAAAUGACUGGAGCUUUAGGCGUAAAGGCGGUCUCUCUCUAGGCUGAUCAAACAGCCCUUUGCCCAGUGCUAAUUGCCUUCACGGAACCUGGAUAAACUACAGUUCCCGAAUUAAACUUGUUUCUGAUGAACUAGACUUCCCAGGGAAUGGGUGUAGUGAUUUUGCUGAUGGUUCAGACAUCGGCACUUUCCCUGAAGGGCUCAACUUCCUGUGUUUAAAAGCAGACCUAACAGGGGCUGGCGCAUAAGCAUCCCGGGAAAUACAAGAAGCUCAUGAAAGCAGGCAGCCUUUGCAAGAGACCUGACUUAUUUUCUAGGAGAAAAACAUCCUUUUAGGGAUUU
rnacentral:lncRNA from 1 species